UACGGAGGGGGCUAGCGUUGUUCGGAAUUACUGGGCGUAAAGCGCACGUAGGCAGCUUUGUAAGUUAGAGGUGAAAGCCCGGGGCUCAACCCCGGAAUUGCCUUUGAGACUGCAUCGCUAGAAUUGUGGAGAGGUAAGUGGAAUUCCGAGUGUAGAGGUGAAAUUCGAAGAUAUUCGGAAGAACACCAGUGGCGAAGGCGACUUACUGGACACAUAUUGACGCUGAGGUGCGAAAGCGUGGGGAGCAAACAGG
rnacentral:rRNA from 1 species